AGCCACAAUGAACUAAAUCCCUUUAGAAAAGGGUGGACAUUAACAAAACUUGUUGCCACUUCGAAGGGAGUAGUCAAACUUAGAAACUAAGUGUAGAACCAUAGAAAGGUUAGCCCACCGGUUCUAGCAAGACCUAGUUACCACAUUGCAUAUCAAAGAAAGAAUAGAGAGACUUGCAAACGUAAACAGUGAAACAAUUAAGAGCUAAAAAAAACAAACAACAUAUGCAAUAUACAUCAGAAAAAUCCCAUAAAAAAUGAGGGGAAACUUCACUUAUGGCCUAACCAAAACCAAACCACCUACUCUUAGCGUUCUAGACAUAGCAUCGAGUUUGACGAGGGCUUUGAAAAGAGGAGGAAUCCUCCCCGUUCCAUAGUAGGGGGAAAACGAGGCUUGUUGUCACUCCGAAGGGAGCAGUCAAACUUAGAAACUAAGUCUAGAACCAUAGAAAGGUUACCCCACCGGUUCUUUGUGCGUACCAAAGAAACAAAAGAGAUAGUUGCAAAUGUAAAACGUAAAACAGCGAGACAAUUAAGAGCUAAAAAAAAAAAACAAUAUGCAUUAUACAUUAGAAAAAUCCCAUAAAAAAAUGAGGGGAAACUUCACUUAUGGCCUAACCAAAACCAGACCA
rnacentral:lncRNA from 1 species